rnacentral:rRNA from 1 species
AGUCAAUAGAUACCCUGGUAGUCCAUGCCGUAAACGAUGAUUGCUAGGUGUGGGGGGUCUGACCCCUUCCGUGCCGGAGUUAAACACAAUAAGCAAUCCACCUGGGGAGUACGGCCGCAAGGUUGAAACUCAAAGGAAUUGACGGGGGCCCGCACAAGCAGUGGAGUAUGUGGUUUAAAUUCGAAGCAACGCGAAGAACCUUACCAGGUCUUGACAUCCACCGAAUCCUGUAGAGAUACGGGAGUGCCCUUCGGGGAACGGUGAGACAGGUGGUGCAUGGUUGUCGUCAGCUCGUGUCGUGAGAUGUUGGGUUAAGUCCCGCAACGAGCGCAACCCUUGUGAAUAGUUGCUACGAAAGAGCACUCUAUUCAGACCGCCGUUGACAAAACGGAGGAAGGUGGGGAUGACGUCAAAUCAUCAUGCCCCUUAUGACCUGGGCUACACACGUACUACAAUGGUCGUCAACAGAGGGAAGCAAGACCGCGAGGUGGAGCG